UACGUAGGGUGCGAGCGUUAAUCGGAAUUACUGGGCGUAAAGCGUGCGCAGGCGGUUAUGCAAGACAGAUGUGAAAUCCCCGGGCUCAACCUGGGAAUGGCAUUGGAAACUGGCUGGCUAGAGUGUGGCAGAGGGGGGUGGAAUUCCGCGUGUAGCAGUGAAAUGCGCAGAUAUCAGGAGGAACACCGGUGGCGAAGGCGGGUCUCUGGGCCGAUACUGACGCUGAGGAGCGAAAGCGUGGGGAGCGAACAGG
rnacentral:rRNA from 1 species